rnacentral:rRNA from 1 species
CCUACGGGGGGCAGCAGUGGGGAAUAUUGGGCAAUGGGCGCAAGCCUGACCCAGCAACGCCGCGUGAAGGAAGAAGGCUUUCGGGUUGUAAACUUCUUUUAUGAGGGACGAAAGAAAUGACGGUACCUCAUGAAUAAGCCACGGCUAACUACGUGCCAGCAGCCGCGGUAAUACGUAGGUGGCAAGCGUUAUCCGGAAUCAUUGGGCGUAAAGAGUUCGUAGGCGGCAUGUAAAGUCAGGUGUUAAAGGCGCAGGCUCAACCUGUGUAUGGCACUUGAUACUUGCAAGCUGGAAUGCGGUAGAGGUAAAGGGAAUUCCUGGUGUAGCGGUGAAAUGCUUAGAUAUCAGGAGGAACAUCGGUGGCGUAAGCGCUUUACUGGGCCGUAAUUGACGCUGAGGAACGAAAGCCAGGGUAGCAAAUGGGAUUAGAUACCCUUGUAGUC